UCCUUGGGCAAGACACUUUACCCACCUGCCCCCAGUGCCACCCACACUGGUUUAAAUGUAACUUAGAUAUUGGGUUUCACAGUGUAAAGCGCUUUGAGUCACUUGAGAAAAAGCGCUAUAUAAAUAUAAUUCACUUCAUUUCACUUCACUUGGUGAAUUAUAGCUGUCAAUAUACUCCUCCCUCUUAACCAUGCCCCCAACUAUGCCCCGCCCCAGCCCCGACCACGCCCCCCCACCCUCCACCCCCGACCUCCCGAAAUCGGAGGUCUCAAGGUUGGCAAGUAUGAUCAUGAGCAACCUGUGCAUAUCAAUUUAUAGUAAAAAAAAACUGAAACAUCAAAGGCAGCAGUGCCUCACAUCACUGCAGAUGUCAAGAACGCCAGACUUGGUCUCAUUUGUGUUGUUUUCAGCAGAUAUUGUGACAACGCAGCUGGUUAAUUCUCAGAAUCAUGAGACAUGUCCAGAUUACAGCCGUAACUCGAGAGUAUAAUUUAGUUUCUACAUGAUCGUUGUUGCGGUUUACCUGACACAUGCAAUGUGACAAACUGGGCGGGGCGGAGUACACUAUCCACUUGAGCCGCCAGAUGGCAGUAGAGUGUGGAAUGUCUUAAAAUUAGUUAUGUGACAAUUCCAACUUCGGACCACAGCGUCAGUUGCUGUUUAGAGUGGCGCUUUCCAUCAUUUUCAGCAGACUGCAUUGCAAACAAAUUUAACCUCCCUCCCCAGGAAUGGGGCCACAUAAACCCAUCCUCUGGGCAGCAAGACAAUAAAAAACAUUCAGAAAACAAAUAUGACAUAUUGGAGGCCAAUUUAAAAAAAAAUCUGCUUCUUGAGAGUGUCAUGGAAGCGAGUCCCUCAAAGAAUGUUGCCAGGUGUUGUGAAAAAAGAUGAAGCCAAGGCAAGAAGAGGCCAGAGUCUGAUGUCCUUUUUUUUUCUCAGCAAGAUAAAGACAAUGACAGGUCAAAGGGGAAGUCUAAGAAAGCUGUGUUCAUUAUAGCUGCGCCUUCAAAGCAGGGCUUUUUGUGGCCCUAAACAAGAUUGUGUGUGUGUGUGUGUGUGUGUGUGUGUGUGUGUGAGUGUGUGAGUGUGUGAGCGUGUGUGUGUGUGUGUGUGUGUGUGUGUGUGUGUGUGUGUGUGUGUGUGUGUCCAUGUUGGGCUUCAAUAUCACUCGGGAGGUUUUCAAACUUUUUCCACCAAGCACCACUUCAGAAAACACUGGACUCUCCAAGUGCCACCAUAGUAUCCAACAUCAAAACACAGUAGCACAGUAGGCCUAAGAAUUCAUCAAAAACAAGGCAAAGGUUUUAUUUAACAAGUGUAUUUCCGAUUUUUUUUUUUUGCCUCUUUCACAUUACACACAGUUUGAACAGUAACACUGUGUUUGAAAAGAGCAAAAAUACAAGUUUGAGAAUGACUGCAGCCUAGUAAUGUCCCAUUGAAAUCUAUGGGAAAAAAUUCUGAAAAAAUUGCGAUUUUCAGAAAAAAAUGGGAAUUUCGGGAAAAGCUGGAUUUUUAAAAAAAAAAGGUAAAAACAACCUUGAGUGGUCAGAAUGAGUUGAAAUGGUGGGUGUUGGAAUUUUUCAUUUCGGUCGAGAAAUGUUGAAGUAGUAACAUGUUGAAUUGAGAAAUGGUAUUACGGAAUUCCUGGAAUUUCGGGAAAACCGGGAAUUUUUUCCAGUUCAAAAAAACAACUCAGUUUUUUUGUCCUGAUUAAGAAGAAGAAAAGGGUGGAAAUAGGGCUUUGGAAAAGCAGAAAUUCUGGAAAAAUCCUAGAAUUUUAUUGAAGUUUGAAAAGGGGAAGUUUGAAUUUCCAGAACAGGGGAAUGUGUUGAAGGUGGAAUGGUUUGAAUGGGUUGAAGAAUGUGGAAGUUGUGGAACUUUGAAGAAUGUCCAUAGAUUUCAACGUCCCAUUGAAAUCUAUGGAAAAAAAUUCUGAAAAAAUUGGGAAUUUCAGAAAAAAUUGGGAAUUUCGGGAAAAGCUGGAUUUUUUUUAUAAAAAAGGUAAAACACUUGAGUGGUCAGAAUGAGUUGAAAUGGUUGGUGUUGGAAUUUUUCAUUUCUGUCGAGAAAUGUUGAAGUAGUAACAUGUUGAAUUGAGAAAUGGUAUUACGGAAUUCCUGGAAUUUCGGGAAAACCGGGAACUGUUUCCAGUUCAAAAAAAGAACUCCGUUUUUUUGUCCUGAUUAAGAGGAAUGUUUUGACGGUAAAACAGUUGAAAUGCGUUGACAAAUGUGGAAGGAGUAGUCACCAGAAAAAAGGGUGGAAAUAGGGCUUUGGAAAAGCAGGAAUUCUGGAAAAAUCCUAGAAUUUUAUUGAAGUUGGAAAAGGGGAAGUUUGAAUUUCCAGAAUGGUGGAAUGGUUUGAAUGGGUUGAAGAAUGUGGAAGUUGUGGAACUUUGAAGAAUGUCCAUAGAUUUCAAUGUCCCAUUGAAAUCUAUGGGAAACAAUUCUGAAAAAAUUGGGAAUUUCAAAAAAAAUUGGGAAUUUCGGGAAAAGCUGGAUUUCUUUUUUUAAAAAGGUAAAAAACUUGAGUGGUCAGAAUGAGUUGAAAUGGUUGGUGUUGGAAUUUUUCAUUUCGGUCGAGAAAUGUUGAAGUAGUAACAUGUUGAAUUGAGAAAUGGUAUUACGGAAUUCCUGGAAUUUCGGGAAAACCGGGAAUUUUUUCCAGUUCAAAAAAACAACUCAGUUUUUUUGUCCUGAUUAAGAGGAAUGUUUUGACAGUUAAACAGUUGAAAUGCGUUGACAAAUGUGGCAGGAGUAGUCACCAGAAGAAAAGGGUGGACAUAGGGCUUUGGAAAAGCAGGAGUUCUGGAAAAAUCCUAGAAUUUUAUUGAAGUUGGAAAAGGGGAAGUUUGAAUUUCCAAAACGGUGGAAUGUGUUGAAGGUGGAAUGGUUUGAAUGGGUUGAAGAAUGUGGAAGUUGUGGAACUUUGAAGAAUGUCCAUAGAUUUCAACGUCCCAUUGAAAUCUAUGGGAAAAAAUUCUGAAAAAAUUGGGAAUUUCAGAAAAAAUUGGGAAUUUCGGGAAAAGCUGGAUUUUUUUUUAUAAAAAAGGUAAAACACUUGAGUGGUCAGAAUGAGUUGAAAUGGUUGGUGUUGGAAUUUUUCAUUUCUGUCGAGAAAUGUUGAAGUAGUAACAUGUUGAAUUGAGAAAUGGUAUUACGGAAUUCCUGGAAUUUCGGGAAAACCGGGAAUUUUUUCCAGUUCAAAAAAACAACUCAGUUUUUUUGUCCUGAUUAAGAAGAAGAAAAGGGUGGAAAUAGGGCUUUGGAAAAGCAGAAAUUCUGGAAAAAUCCUAGAAUUUUAUUGAAGUUUGAAAAGGGGAAGUUUGAAUUUCCAGAACAGGGGAAUGUGUUGAAGGUGGAAUGGUUUGAAUGGGUUGAAGAAUGUGGAAGUUGUGGAACUUUGAAGAAUGUCCAUAGAUUUCAACGUCCCAUUGAAAUCUAUGGAAAAAAAUUCUGAAAAAAUUGGGAAUUUCAGAAAAAAUUGGGAAUUUCGGGAAAAGCUGGAUUUUUUUUAUAAAAAAGGUAAAACACUUGAGUGGUCAGAAUGAGUUGAAAUGGUUGGUGUUGGAAUUUUUCAUUUCUGUCGAGAAAUGUUGAAGUAGUAACAUGUUGAAUUGAGAAAUGGUAUUACGGAAUUCCUGGAAUUUCGGGAAAACCGGGAACUGUUUCCAGUUCAAAAAAAGAACUCCGUUUUUUUGUCCUGAUUAAGAGGAAUGUUUUGACGGUAAAACAGUUGAAAUGCGUUGACAAAUGUGGAAGGAGUAGUCACCAGAAAAAAGGGUGGAAAUAGGGCUUUGGAAAAGCAGGAAUUCUGGAAAAAUCCUAGAAUUUUAUUGAAGUUGGAAAAGGGGAAGUUUGAAUUUCCAGAAUGGUGGAAUGUGUUGAAGGUGGAAUGGUUUGAAUGGGUUGAAGAAUGUGGAAGUUGUGGAACUUUAAAGAAUGUCCAUAGAUUUCAAUGUACAAUUGAAAUCUAUGGGAAACAAUUAAAAAGAAAUUGGGAAUUUCAGAAAAAAUUGGGAAUUUCGGGAAAAACUGGAUUUUUUUUUAAAAUAAGGUAAAAAACUUGAGUGGUCAGAAUGAGUUGAAAUGGUGGGUGUUGGAAUUUUUCAUUUCGGUCGAGAAAUGUUGAAGUAGGAACAUGUUGAAUUGAGAAAUGGUAUUACGGAAUUCCUGGAAUUUCGGGAAAACCGGGAAUUUUUUCCAGUUCAAAGAAACAACUCCUUUUUUUUGUCCUGAUUAAGAGGAAUGUUUUGACGGUAAAACAGUUUAAUUGCGUUGAACAAUGUGGAAGGAGUAGUCACCAGAAAAAAAGGGUGGAAAUAGGGCUUUGGAAAAGCAGGAGUUCUGGAAAAAUCCUAGAAUUUUAUUGAAGUUGGAAAAGGGGAAGUUUGAAUUUCCAAAACGGUGGAAUGUGUUGAAGGUGGAAUGGUUUGAAUGGGUUGAAGAAUGUGGAAGUUGUGGAACUUUGAAGAAUGUCCAUAGAUUUCAAUGUCCCAUUGAAAUCUAUGGGAAACAAUU